rnacentral:rRNA from 1 species
ACAGAGGCCUCAAGCGUUAGGCGGAAUCACUGGGCUUAAAGCGUGUGUAGGCGGAUCGUUAAGUGCCUUGUGAAAUCCCACGGCUUAACUGUGGAACGGCUGGGCAUACUGGCGGUCUUGAGCCAUCUAGGGGCGACUGGAACAAACGGUGGAGCGGUGAAAUGCGUAGAUAUCGGGAGGAACAUCGAUGGCGAAAGCAACCGUCUGGGCCUGAACUGACACUGUGACACGAAAGCGUGGGGAGCAAACAGGA